UACAGAGGGUGCAAGCGUUGUUCGGAAUUACUGGGCGUAAAGCGCGUGUAGGCGGCCAGGUAGGUCUGCUGUGAAAACUCGAGGCUCAACCUCGAGACGUCGGCGGAAACCAUCUGGCUAGAGUCCGGAAGAGGAGAGUGGAAUUCCUGGUGUAGCGGUGAAAUGCGCAGAUAUCAGGAAGAACACCCGUGGCGAAGGCGGCUCUCUGGGACGGUACUGACGCUGAGACGCGAAAGCGUGGGGAGCGAACAGG
rnacentral:rRNA from 1 species